AUCCAGCUGAUGAGUCCCAAAUAGGACGAAACGCGCGUCCUGGCU
rfam:Schistosoma mattheei strain Denwood, Zambia genome assembly, scaffold: SMTD_scaffold0000938